rnacentral:rRNA from 1 species
CAUGCAAGUCGAACGGAGCUUAGAGAGCUUGCUUUUUAAGCUUAGUGGCGAACGGGUGAGUAACGCGUGAGUAACCUGCCCUAGAGUGGGGGACAACAGUUGGAAACGACUGCUAAUACCGCAUAAGCCCACGGUACCGCAUGAUACUGAGGGAAAAGGAUUUAUUCGCUUUAGGAUGGACUCGCGUCCAAUUAGCUAGUUGGUGAGGUAACGGCCCACCAAGGCGACGAUUGGUAGCCGGACUGAGAGGUUGAACGGCCACAUUGGGACUGAGACACGGCCCAGACUCCUACGGGAGGCAGCAGUGGGGGAUAUUGCACAAUGGGGGAAACCCUGAUGCAGCGACGCCGCGUGGAGGAAGAAGGUUUUCGGAUUGUAAACUCCUGUCGUUAGGGACGAUAAUGACGGUACCUAACAAGAAAGCACCGGCUAACUACGUGCCAGCAGCCGCGGUAAAACGUAGGGUGCAAGCGUUGUCCGGAAUUACUGGGUGUAAAGGGAGCGCAGGCGGGAAGGCAAGUUGGAAGUGAAAACCAUGGGCUCAACCCAUGAAUUGCUUUCAAAACUGUUUUUCUUGAGUAGUGCAGAGGUAGAUGGAAUUCCCGGUGUAGCGGUGGAAUGCGUAGAUAUCGGGAGGAACACCAGUGGCGAAGGCGGUCUACUGGGCACCAACUGACGCUGAGGCUCGAAAGCAUGGGUAGCAAACAGGAUUAGAUACCCUGGUAGUCCAUGCCGUAAACGAUGAUUACUAGGUGUUGGGG